rnacentral:ncRNA from 1 species
CCCGCUGUUUCGUCAGCGGUAACCUACCGACACAUGCAUCGCUGGUAACGGUGGUGUGUGAAGCUGUCGGGACAAUGCAGCCUUCCUGAAAAGGAGGAGCAAAAGCUGUGAGGCUGAGCAACUAUCCCUAGUAUCAGGGGAUAUGGGUG